ensembl:lncRNA
UUUUGUUCAUUUAAUGCAUUUAUCUACUUAAUAUAAACUAAGACUGUUUUAACAUACGCAGUCAUGCAAAGACACAGGCAAGGUUUGUAUAUAUGUGUCAUAACAACGUCAGCUGGAGAGGACGCUGGCGCUGUCUGUUUGCCGCUUCUCCAAGCAAUUUUUGGGCCAAUUCUGGCCAAUUUUAUUUUAAAAAGUGAUUUUUUGUGGACAUAUAAUCUCUACUUGGUUCCCUGCAAGCAACAUCAGCGACGAAAAGCAAGCUUAUGGACUGUCUUUAGUUGUUCCAGUGUUAUUAUGAAGAGCCGUGUAGCUCACUUGCUAUUUUGGCGUCCCUAGCAACGGCUAAACCAAAUGUUUUCAGGUCAUUUGUCAUCAUAUCUGUAUUUGGACACAAUUAUUCAUGUCUGCGACAGUGGUUACAUGGGGCCGGGGAACGGCCCCAUUUAAGUUUUAAAUUAAUUAAUUUGCCUUGUAGAAUUCAGCAAGAUUAAAAGUGCAAAUACAUCAACAAAAUUCAUAUAAAUUGGCAACCUUGUGUGGUUGUUCAAGACACACUGAAGGCAUUUUGCCACCAUAGGUUUGCAGAGAACUAUAUACAAUAUGCACACUGAAGGCUUGAUGCCACCUUAGGUUUGCAGAGAACUAUAUACAAUAUGCACACUGAAGGCAUGAUGCCACCAUAGGUUUGCAGAGAACUAUAUACAAUAUGCACACUGAAGGCAUGAUGCCACCAUAGGUUUGCAGAGAACUAUAUACAAUACAACUGUAUACAAUAUGCACAGUUGAAAGGGGUGGGGUGGUGGUGGGGUUGUGAGGGCCGCUGAAACCCCAGUGUCCAUCCUUACGGGAAGGGGGGUUGUGAUGAGGGUUGUGAGGGUCGCUGAAACACAGUGUCCAUCCUCACAGGAAGGGGGUGGUGGGGUU